rnacentral:rRNA from 1 species
GACGAACGCUGGCGGCGUGCUUAACACAUGCAAGUCGAACGGAAAGGCCCUGCUUUUGUGGGGUGCUCGAUUGGCGAACGGGUGAGUAACACGUGAGUAACCUGCCCUUGACUUUGGGAUAACUUCAGGAAACUGGGGCUAAUACCGGAUAGGAGCUCUUGCUGCAUGGUGGUGGUUGGAAAGUUUCGGCGGUUGGGGAUGUACUCGCGGCUUAUCAGCUUGUUGGUGGGGUAGUGGCUUACGAAGGCUUUGACGGGUAGCCGGCCUGAGAGGGUGACCGGCCACAUUGGGCCUGAGAGACGGCGCAGAAUCCAACGGGAGGCAGCAGUGGGGAAUAUUGCACAAUGGGCGGAAGCCUGAUGCAGCAACGCCGCGUGCGGGAUGACGGCCUUCGGGUUGUAAACCGCUUUCGCCUGUGACGAAGCGUGCGUGACGGUAAUGGGUAAAAAAGCACCGGCUAACUACGUG